rnacentral:rRNA from 1 species
UACGUAGGGGGCUAGCGUUGUCCGGAAUCAUUGGGCGUAAAGCGCGCGUAGGCGGCCCGGUAAGUCCGCUGUGAAAGUCAAAGGCUCAACCUUUGAAUGUCAGCGGAUACUGCCGGGCUAGAGUCCGGAAGAGGCGAGUGGAAUUCCUGGUGUAGCAGUGAAAUGCGUAGAGAUCGGGAGGAACAUCCGUGGCGAAGGCGACUACCUGGACCAGCACUGACACUGAGGCACGAAAGCGUGGGGAGCAAACAGG